GACGAACGCUGGCGGCGUGCCUAAUACAUGCAAGUCGAACGCACAGUUUAUACCGUAGCUUGCUACACCAUAGACUGUGAGUUGCGAACGGGUGAGUAACGCGUAGGUAACCUGCCUGGUAGCGGGGGAUAACUAUUGGAAACGAUAGCUAAUACCGCAUAAUAUUGAUUAUUGCAUGAUAAUUAAUUGAAAGGUGCAAUUGCACCACUACCAGAUGGACCUGCGUUGUAUUAACUAGUAGGGGAGGUAACGGCUCACCUAGGCGACGAUACAAAGCAGAACAGAGGAAGUGAUCGGGCCCGCAAGGACUGAGAAACGGCCCAAACUCCCACGAGAGGCAGCAGUAGGGAAACCUCGGCAAUGGACGGAAGUAUGACCGAGAAACGCCGCGUGAGUGAAGAAGGAUUUCGGGUCGAAAAGCUCUGUUGUAAGAGAAGAACGGGUGUGAGAGUGGAGAGUUCACACUGUGACGGUAUCUUACCAGAAAGGGACGGCUAACUACGUG
rnacentral:rRNA from 1 species